AGAACGAACGCUGGCGGCACGCCUAACACAUGCAAGUCGAGCGCCCAGCAAUGGGAGCGGCGGACGGGUGAGUAACACGUGGGAAUAUGCCUUUCGGUACGGAACAACUCAGGGAAACUUGAGCUAAUGCCGUAUACGCCCUUACGGGGAAAGAUUUAUCGCCGAAAGAUUAGCCCGCGUCUGAUUAGCUAGUUGGUGAGGUAAUGGCUCACCAAGGCUUCGAUCAGUAGCUGGUUUGAGAGAACGACCAGCCACACUGGGACUGAGACACGGCCCAGACUCCUACGGGAGGCAGCAGUGGGGAAUCUUGGACAAUGGGGGAAACCCUGAUCCAGCGAUGCCGCGUGAGUGAUGAAGGCCUUGGGUUGUAAAACUCUUUCGACGGGACGAUAAUGACGGUACCGUAGAAGAAGCUCCGGCUAACUUCGUGCCAGCAGCCGC
rnacentral:rRNA from 1 species